AAAUUUAGAAAUGUGUUUAUUUAAUAUUGAAAACAACACCUCUAUGCACCUCACGAUAAGGCUGUGAGUUGCUGGCAGACAGUUUGAGUAACAGAAUUUUAAAUA